rnacentral:rRNA from 1 species
AUGGCCGCCUCGCCGCCGCCCUCGCGAUUUGGGUCCCCCUUCCUCCCCCUCCUCCUCCUCCUCGUCGUCGUCGGUUACUUCACCGCCUCAGCAUCAGCGGCGGGGGAGCUGAGCCAGGUGGUGGGGAGGGGGGCGGAUGGGCCCUACUUCGAGCCUUUCAACGUGAGCUACGACCAUCGCGCGGUGCGCAUCGGCGGGCAGCGGAGGAUGCUCGUCUCAGCAGGAGUACACUACCCCCGCGCCACACCCGAGAUGUGGCCUAGUAUAAUUGCAAAGUGCAAGGAAGGUGGUGCAGAUGUAAUUGAGACAUAUGUCUUUUGGAAUGGGCAUGAACCAGCCAAAGGUCAGUAUUACUUUGAAGACAGAUUUGAUCUUGUGAGAUUUGUGAAGCUGGUUGCUGCCGAAGGCCUAUUUUUUCUCCUUCGUAUCGGCCCAUAUGCUUGUGCUGAAUGGAAUUUCGGUGGUUUCCCAGUUUGGUUACGUGAUAUCCCUGGCAUAGAAUUUCGUACUGACAAUGAGCCAUACAAGGCUGAAAUGCAGACUUUCGUGACAAAAAUUGUAGACAUGAUGAAAGCCGAGAAGCUUUAUUCUUGGCAAGGUGGUCCCAUUAUAUUGCAGCAGAUUGAAAAUGAAUAUGGGAAUAUUCAAAGCAAGUAUGGUCAAGCAGGCAAGAGAUAUAUGCAAUGGGCAGCUCAGAUGGCACUUGGGCUUGAUACUGGCAUUCCUUGGGUGAUGUGCCGGCAAACUGAUGCUCCGGAACAAAUUCUUGAUACUUGCAAUGCAUUUUACUGCGAUGGGUUUCAGCCAAAUUCUUACAAUAAGCCAAAGAUAUGGACUGAGGAUUGGGAUGGAUGGUAUGCCAACUGGGGUGGACCAUUGCCUCAUAGGCCUGCCAAAGACAGUGCUUUUGCUGUUGCUCGUUUCUACCAACGUGGCGGAAGUUUACAGAAUUAUUAUAUGUAUUUUGGUGGAACAAAUUUUGCCCGAACAGCUGGUGGUCCACUUCAGAUAACAAGUUAUGAUUAUGAUGCUCCAGUUAACGAGUAUGGUUUCUUAAGGCAGCCUAAGUGGGGACAUCUGAAAGAUCUACACACAGCUAUCAAACUUUGUGAACCAGCUCUCAUUGCAGUGGAUGGCUCACCUCAAUAUGUAAAGUUAGGAUCAAUGCAAGAGGCACAUGUAUAUUCCAAUGGAAAAGUUCAAACAAACAGAAGCAUGACAGGAAAUGGACUGAUUUGCUCCGCUUUUCUUGCCAAUAUUGAUGAGCAUAAAUAUGCAUCAGUCUGGAUCUUUGGUAAAUCUUAUAAUCUGCCACCAUGGUCUGUGAGCAUACUACCAGACUGUGAGAAUGUAGCUUUCAAUACUGCUCACGUUGGUGCACAAACUUCUGUUUUUACGUUUGAAUCUGGGUCCCCAAGUCAUUCAAGUAGACAUAAGCCUAGUCUUUUAUUACCUGGGGUUGAUGGGUCCUAUUUCUCGAGUACUUGGUGGACUUCUAAAGAGAUCAUUGGUACAUGGGGUGGUGAAAGCUUUGCUACGCAGGGAAUAUUAGAGCACUUGAAUGUAACAAAGGACACAUCUGACUACCUGUGGUAUACUACCAGUGUAAACAUUUCGGAUGAGGAUGUUGGAUUUUGGAGUUCAAAAGGGGUUCUUCCUGCACUAAAAAUAGACCGAAUUCGUGAUGUAGCUCGUGUAUUUGUAAAUGGAGAGCUUGCAGGUAGUCAAGUUGGUCACUGGGUAUCACUGAAGCAACCGGUUCAAUUUGUUCAAGGUCUUAAUAAGCUGACAUUGUUGUCAGAAAUUGUUGGCUUGCAGAAUUAUGGUGCUUUCUUGGAGAAGGAUGGAGCUGGAUUUAGAGGGCAAGUAAAACUCACUGGAUUGCCAAAUGGGGACAUUGACCUGACUCAUUCCGUUUGGACAUAUCAGGUGGGGCUGAAAGGUGAGUUUUCUAUGAUUUAUGCUCCUGAGAAGCAGGCAUGUGCUGAGUGGAGUGGCAUGCAGAUUGACGAUAUACUGUCACCCUUUACAUGGUACAAGACUAUGUUUGAUGCCCCUAAAGGUACCGACCCUGUCGCCAUCUAUCUUGGGAGCAUGGGGAAGGGCCAGGCUUGGGUGAAUGGGCAUCUAAUUGGGCGCUACUGGUCACUAGUAGCGCCAGAAUCUGGGUGCUCAUCUUCAUGCAACUACCCGGGAGCGUAUAGUGAGAGCAAAUGUCAAUCAAACUGUGGAAUGCCGACCCAAAGCUGGUACCACAUACCACGAGAAUGGCUGCAGGAGUCGGACAAUCUUCUGGUAUUGUUUGAAGAAACAGGGGGUGACCCUUCAAAGAUAUCACUGGAGGUUCAUUAUACCAAAACAAUCUGCUCAAGGAUAUCAGAAAGUUAUUAUCCUCCCCUUUCUGCUUGGUCACGCCUUACCAGUGGUCGUGUCUUGGUUGAUACUAUAGCACCAGAACUGCGCUUACGGUGUGAUGAUGGGCAUUUGAUCACUAAGAUUACAUUUGCGAGCUACGGAACUCCAUCAGGUGGUUGCCAGAAUUUCUCCGAAGGAAAGUGCCAUGCUUUGAGUACUCUUGCCUUGGUAUCAGAGGCGUGCGUGGGCAACAACGAAUGCGCAAUCAGUGUUUCGAAUGAUGUGUUUGGUGAUCCAUGCCGAGGAGUCCUCAAGGAUUUGGCAGUUGAGGCUGAGUGCUCGCUGUCAUCGGCCACCAAAGAACCUCGAGACGAGAUGUGA